CAAUCUUGACACUAGCCACAGGAUGCAGAAACAGCUGGGCACCCUGCCUAAUAAGCCUUGGCUCUUCACAAAGCUGAUUAGCUCAAGCUGGCUGCUAUACAGCUGCAGGUUUUUAAGGACCCACAUUUCAUUGGCCAGGGAUACCAUAGAGAACCUUAACUGUGCUCAACUGUGUUUAUUGAAUUCCAUUAGAGGCUGAAAGCUAGUUUUUGCUGUACUGAACUUCACUGAGUUCAAACAUCAUGCUGCUCUAUCCAUUGAGGUUGGUUGUUCCAGUGACAGCUAUUUAAUCUAGGGCUUGCAACACUGUUCCACAUCAAAUGCACAUUUGAUACUUCAACUGCUUACCCUGUCACCAGACACAAGUCUCCCAGCCUGCUGCAAGAAUCGGCCUGGAAGGGUGCCAGGAAAGUGAUGUGACCUGAAAGCUUUUCUCAACAUGUGCAUCAGACACAUGUUCUCCCUGCAAAUGGAAAUAAAGUACAGGCUCAGUACAAAGAUGAAGCUAAAUUUUCAGAUUUGAUCUUUUCCUGUGAUAAAGGACUGAUAUGUAACAGAACAUCUGCUAUUCCUCAACCCAGCGUGCAUGAAGAGCUCUCACUGAAUAUCAAACUCUUAUUCCUGUGUGAAUGAUAAGAAGGCUUCAAUUACAUUUCAAGAUAGAUAUCCACACAGCCCCCAGAUGCUGUGCUGAUGGAAGCAACUGCCAAGAGUGGAUGGAUCGAGUGCCACGUUAUAUGAGACGGGGAGGCAACUGACUCAGGAGCACCUACUCGGUGAUCCACGUACACAGCCAUCAGGAGCUAUCACAGACUGCAAACCUGCAUAAGGAAAAGAAGGGGUUGUAACAGGUCACAGAAUGCUAAAAGUUGUUAAUAAAAGAAGCUACCACACCACCUUCUUAAUGUGCUCUAUAUAGAACACAGAAAAGGCUAAAAAGUUAAAAAAUGCUGAGGAGUACUGGGCCUUGUAGCCAUAGAUCCACAACGUGCACAGACUAGCACCUGGUCUCUCCGUGGCUUAUACUGCUUUACUUCAGAGGACUCUGAAGUAACUCGGAGUUUACCAAAAAAGGUAUUUCUGGUA